AGCCAUUACAAAGUUUCCAGCGAUCGAGACCACUCGUCCAGGGGAGCUGUUCUGUGCAACUAACUUAUCGUGAACACCGAAGUCCUCUCAGCUAUGAAUCUGCUCGGUCUGAUCAUCGUCAUCGUAGCGGCCAUCAUCGGAAUCACCCAGGGCCUGCCUGAGCCAGCCGUCAUCAUGGACGGUAGACCAAACAUGAUCCCCGACGCUUACGUGCAGCCCCCAAGGUUCCACUACCGCGGUUUCCAGAGGCCCUACCCAAAAUACGACUGGUCAUAAAUUGAUGUUUUUCUGUCAGAUAGGAUGGGAUAGGAUGGCUGCUCGAGACGGUGCAAAAAGAUGGAUAGGAGAGGAACCAUUUGCACCACCAUCUUUUCGUAGUAUUGGUGAUUCAUUUCUAAAUUACCUUCUGAUAAAGCUCACCGGGAGACUAUGUAAUCAAAACCGUUUUGUGUGAGCCCAGAUGAUCAGAGACGGCCACUAGAUGACGAUUUAAAAAGAAAGAAGGAAAAAAUAUAUUUACAAGGUUCAUUAUGUAUAUGAAUUACGCUUCUUGAAUUUAUGCUGAUAUUGUCAUGGUAAAAAUCUUGAUUUGUAAACUCAUCCUAUUUUGUAAAGUUGCUAAUUUCAGGAACCGAAGCCAACCAAGACGUACCUGAAUUUCAGCGCUUUAUAACCCUGACAGUAAUAUCUGCACAGAAGAUUAUGCCACAGCCUGUCAGAUUUCGUAUACAAAGUGUCUCGAGAAUGUCUCGUUCCAUAUCAAAUCAAGGAAUAUAUCAAUAAAAUAAUUUAAGAAAUGAAA